GGGAAAGCAGGCAAACUCCACUGCUCUCCCGAGCUGCGCAGGGCAAGGCAGGGACGUCGGCUCCGCCCUCCCCGCCCUCCUGCCCUUAACUACCGCAAUGCUUUGGCCCAUCGCUAGCUCCUUUAUCCGGAUACGGGAAGACCCGGACCCGGCUGGGGGUAGGGGGUGGGGUACGAGCCUCUAGGAACAGCCUGCCCUCACGGAGAAAAGCCUCUGCCCUGAGGGUCUUGUGCAUCUUGAACUCUCUCCUCCCCUGACAGCCACUGCCGCCUCCUCUCUUCCUAGGAUCCAGUCACCCUCCUUGCCUUUUCCAUGACGCCAGUGGAGAACUCUGAAAGUUUGCAAAGUGAGGGGCUGCAAGGAGGGUGCCAGUGCCGGGACCACGAGAGGCGAUUAAAAGAGGGUGCCUGUUGCUCAGGCCAAAAACUGGAGGCAUCCUUGACUUCCCUCAUUAUCCUGGGACUCCUCUAAUCAUCGUCUCACUGCUACUGCUGCUCUCCUGGUCCCAGCUACCAUCUUUCUCGCCUGGAUCACUGCAACAACUUCCUAAUGGUUUGUUUCCACCUCUGCCUCCCGAUAGUCUGUUCUCAACAUGGCAUCGGGGUGAUCCUUUUAAAACGAACUUCUUGAAGACAAAUUAGCCAGGCCAUUUCAUGAAAAUAGGAAAGUGAGUAAGCACUAAUCAAACAAGAAGGGAUGUUCAAG